rnacentral:rRNA from 1 species
GACGAACGCUGGCGGCGUGCUUAACACAUGCAAGUCGAACGGAAAGGCCCUGCUUGCAGGGUACUCGAGUGGCGAACGGGUGAGUAACACGUGGGUGAUCUGCCCUGCACUUCGGGAUAAGCCUGGGAAACUGGGUCUAAUACCGGAUAGGAGCCAUUUUUAGUGUGAUGGUUGGAAAGUUUUUUCGGUGUAGGAUGAGCUCGCGGCCUAUCAGCUUGUUGGUGGGGUAAUGGCCUACCAAGGCGGCGACGGGUAGCCGGCCUGGGAGGGUGGACGGUCACAUUGGGACUGAGAUACGGCCCAGACUCCUACGGGGGGCAGUAGUGGGGAAUAUUGAACAAUGGGGGAAAGACGGAUGCAGCGACGCCGCGGGGGGGAGGACGUCCUUCGGGUUGUAAAAUCGUUUCGCUAGGGACGAAGCUUUUUGUGACGGUACCUAGAUAAGAAGCACCGGCUAACUACGUG